GAUAUAUGGAUUCAUAGUAUGCAAUAUUACUUUCUGCUUCUGGGACUGGUAUAACCAUAUUAUCCCUCUUCUCUCCAUAUACUUGUUGUGCUGAGAUAGCCCGUUGGAGAUGAUGUUCCGACUCCUCUUCCUUCUCCAUGCCCGUGGGCAUCUGCGGCACGGCCCGGUUAAUGGAGGCAUAUUCGGCCAAGUCGGGCAGAUCCUCGCAGCGGAAGACGGGCAGCGGCUUGGACGCGUCCAGCGCCCGGGCCCGGAACGACAGUUUGCUCAUGUUAGGCGGCGAUGGCGGCUCCGGCUGGGGAGGGGGGGGCGACAGCAAGAGCGCUCCGAGCUGAGAGCCGGACCCCGCCGAGCGCUCUCAUGGAGAGACCGCGGCUCCCCCGGCGGGGCGGGGCGCGCUCCGACACGGGGCCCGGCGGCGCCGGCUGGGCUGGGCGCUGGCUCCGCUCCUCCGCCGCUCCGGCUCCGCUCAAUACGCCACGGCCAACAUGGCGGACAUUAAACCUCGACUGGCCGCCUCUUUCAGCCAACCCCAGCGCCACAGCCAUUCCCACACUGCAUCGCGCAGGGGCGCGGGCACAGCGCCGCCCGGGGGAGAGAGCGCGCGGCGCGGGCACGGGAGCGCGGGCACGGCAGCGCGGGGAGAGCUCGCAGCGGCCGGCGGCGGCGGGCACGGGGCGCUGCUGCCGGCACCGGGCGCCGCCGCCGCUCUCUCGCGACCCGGCGGGACGGGCGCUGCCGCGGGGAGGGCGACAGCCGUUCGCGAGGAGGCUCGGCCGCUGCCUCCCGAGGGGAAGCCUUCCCCUGACAGACCCGCAGCCCGCCCCGGGACGCUGGGGAGAAGGGGUAGUACCACCCGGCCGUUCCCGUCGCCGGAGAGCGGCCGGGGCAGCCCGUUCCGAGCGCCUCACUCCCUCGCUCGCUCACUUACCCCUCAGGGCCGGCGGCGGUGGGGCCGCCCGUUCACCUCAGAGCGCGGCGCCCCCACCAACGGCCGCAGCGGCGCCCGCGGGGUUCCACGGCCGUCUGAGGGGAACGGCGCCCCGAGCCCCGCGGCAGCCCUGCCCGCCCCCACGGGCCCACCGCCUCCCGCUGACCCCAGCGCACGGUCGCGCUCACGGAGGCAGAAACGCGGUCACGGCCCCGCGACGCGAGGAGCUGCGAGCGGCAGUUGGAGCGCUGAAGUGCGCACACGUGAACUGCCCUCACUCCUGCUCGCAUUGAAGCGAUCGCUCCGUUACCCGCACCAGCACUCUUCUAAGCGGGACGGGACGUCCCGAGCCUCCUUUCUCUCAGUAACAUCUCCCGGGGCUGCCCCAGAGCAGCCUUAUACGGGUCACAACGCACUUCUCCCUGCCCAGCGCUGCAGUCACCGAUUCGAGGAGCGCUACGAGCGCUUAUCCGCCUUAUGACUCCGCGUCGUACCGCACCGUAAUUGCAGCCCCGCAGUUAAAUCACAACACGCUUUAGGGUAGUUUUACAAGAACGAGAACACUGUUUGAAUUUACGUAUUCCUCCACAUUUCAAGCAAAACAUCAUAGUCUGCUUCUUUAUGAGAUGCAGUAGCCAAAACCUGUUCUUUCUCUACCACAUAUUAAAGUGGAACUUUAGGGGAAAAAAGGAUGUACAACCAGAAAAAGGACUCGAUUCAUUUGCUAAUCUUUUAAGCCUGCAUGUCUGACCUCCCGGCAGGAGCGUGGAGCUGCUUCACCUGCAGUCUCCGGCCCCCGGGACGGGGAGCUCCGUCUGCACGGCGAACGGGCCAUGCAGGGCAAGAGAGCCGCUGGGAAGAACGUCACUUUCUUUCAAAUACUUCGUUUGCUCGGUUUUGCAAGGAUGCUGGUAUGAACCAAAGAGUAUAGUUGGAUUCAUCUGUGCUUCAGUAAUUACAGCAAAGCCAAAUGCAAAAAUUGCAUCUUGCUUUUUAUGCUAAUUCUAAAGCGUAAGCGUUCCCUAGCUGGAAAUAGUAAUCCUCAAAUAAAUUGCAUAUAAAACUUGUACAGAGUUUUCAACAAAUACUGAAUAAUUUAGUUUAUCCAAAUAGCAGACAGAUGAGGCAAUGAAAAAGAUAAAUAGCAGCACACUGUCGUGCAUGGGCUUUGACCUCAAACACCCAAUGAAAAUGAAACACCUGGAAGUGAAGCAAAAAAUCAGGCAAUUAUGUAUGACUCUCCACUUGCACUGAUGAAAGAAAAACAGUACGUAACAAAAAGCAAAGUACAGAAAACAUCCUCAACUAUAUAGAAAGAAUACUCAAGUUUCAGCUUAUCCUUAAUUGACCUUUGCAUUUCUAACCCCGCUAUGGGAUGAAGAAAAGUGCAGAGCGUGCAGAACGGACAAUAACACUUGGACACAAACAGGAUGCAUUACGAUGAAAUGUUGGCCUGAAGCUCUCGGACUCAUCGGCUUUUAAUGUUUUACCAAUAAAAUACUGUCCAACUAUUUUGUGGCAGAACCUGAGUAGACCUCAAAAUCACCUUAAUUAAUUCGCUGGUGAUGAGAACUGUGAUUUGAGAACAAGGGUAUUCCAAAGCAACGCAACAUCAGCACCCAUUUCUGGUCUGCAAAGGUGAUACCAGGAACAGCACAGAGCUUUUCAGAAGCAGGUGUUAAAACAGACUGAUGGAUGUUUCUAUUUUACCUCCCUCUCUGUUAGCACAUGCAGAUAUAUUUUACAUUUUGCCAUUUUGGUGACAUUUACCGAAGUGCUUUUACAUUACAUUUGUAGACAUCAGCGCUGCUCUCUGACAGCAGUCAAUCUAAAAUUGGUAUCGUGUUUUGCAUAACAACCCA
rnacentral:lncRNA from 1 species